rnacentral:lncRNA from 1 species
UUAGCGAUUCCCCUUACCUCGAAGCUUUCCAAAAUAACUCGAGCAAUCACCUUCAUCUAGGACACUUCAAUUGUAUGCAGAGAGGGAGAGCAGAGCUGGUGUGAAGAAUUAGUGAGGGUGAUGGUUGCUAUUUAUAGGGGAGUUUGGAUGAUUUGUAUGGACAACUAGGAGACCACAUUUUCACUCCCAUUUGUGUAGAAAGUUAAACCACGUUUUCACUUCCAUGUUUUUACAUGUGUAAUUCUUAUCUAAUAGUGCAUCCUUAUCUCUUUAAUUUUCAUUUAAUUUUUCAUUUAAUUUUAAUAACAUGAG